rnacentral:hammerhead_ribozyme from 1 species
AUCCAACUGACAAGUCCAGAAUAGGAUGAAAUGCGCGUCGUUGUAU